UGCCAAGAGAAAUUAGAAGAGAGUGCAGAUUCAGCCGCAGGGGAAAAAAGCUCUGAAUCUACAACACACCCUUUCCCUAGCUGCUCCUGUCAGCACCCUCUCAAAGUGAGGAAAAGAAACCUGUUUUCCUUAUGACAAAGACUGAUUUGAUGAUAAACCUUCUCGGCUUCCCAGGAGGUGGCAGUGACUCUGAUCGGUGAGGAGGAGGCCGAAGGAGUAGGGGAAUCUAAUCCACUCAGGCCAAGGGAGGAAAGAGGAGGCGGCCCGAGGCCACACUGGUUAGUGUCCUGCACUCAUCUCCUUGGGGUGGGCACGGCAGGGGCCUCCACUUCUGCUGUGGCAAAGCAGUAGAUGUCAUCGAAGCCCAUUCUGUCCAGUCCAAGGGGGUCGCCAUCCGACUCUGAAGCCUGGAGACCCUGGAGCCCCAGAGUGAGUCUUCCCGAGGCCGUGACCAGAGCUUUCUGCAGCCUGGACCUCGGGCCCUGCUUAAACCGGAGGGGAGAUCCCCUCUGCACCAGACAAAGGCCUGUCUGGAAACAGGAGCAGAGACCAAGGGACACAAGGACCACAUUUCUGCCAGCUUCCUGCCUCUCUGCCUGCUGUCACGUCUGCAGGGCUGACGUCUGCAUCUGCUGACUUCCACGGACCUUAUCUUCAGACCGGCCUCUUCGGAGGGGCAGCAUCUACACCGGUGAAGGUGAUUUCAUCCCAGGAAUACAGCUGAUCCAAAGACUUGAGCCACAAAGGCUAUGUUUUCUCCUCUGCAGGGGCGUCCAACAUCUGGAUAACUGCUUACCACCUUCUUAUUUUGCAGAACAUUCCCAGCAUAGCAGCCCUUUGUGUCCCUCUGAGCUGCUCUUUUUGGGGUUAUCCAGGCCCCUCUUGUACCCCGACAGUCCACCUCUUCGCUGCCUAUCUGUUCCCUGCCUCUAGCACUGCCCCACUGCCUGUCCCUAGAACACCUACCCUCCAGGGGUUUAUUUCUUAGAUUCCCCAAGAGAGACUCCACUGGUUUUGCAGGUGCGGACUCAGAACCUGCUGACAGAGAGGGGUACUCUGGAAGGAAGAGUCCCUCUUUUGAGACUGCAGGUUAUAAUCCCUGAGGGUUUUGGGUUAGGGGGAAUUUGCCAUUCAAUCUCUGCUGCCCCUGGUGUCAGGAUGUCAGCAUGUGCGUGGAGGCUGGAACUGCUGCUUCUUCAGCAUGGAUCAGAGACCGGCCAAGAGCUCUGGCAGCAGAGUCAGCUAGAGGCCAGCUGUGCUCCGGACAGGAUCAGAAGCUGGCUGUCCUGUGCUUCCUUCCUUUGCUCCUCCUCUUCAUCAGAUCCUUCUUUGUCCCUGAAAGCCAGGCCGAUGCCGCCAGCAGCACAUUCCUCUUGCCCCUCCGUUCCUCUGAGGUGGCCGCAGUCUGAAGCCCCUCUGGGCCCCCUUGUGCCUGAACUGGAGACACACGAAGUAGAAAAGGACUCCGCAGACAGCUGCACCCGUGGUGCAAGAGAGCCCACGAGGCCUGUUUGCUCCAGCACCUGAGCCUGGAAGGGAACACAGAAGGUGGCAGGGACAGCAGAGGGGAGAUACCUGUGUGCAGGUCCACUAGGCGUCGGGAAGGGCAGCGCCACGGGCUGGACUGGGCUGAGGGCUGGGGGGG
rnacentral:lncRNA from 1 species